rnacentral:rRNA from 1 species
UGCGCAGGCGGACUUUUAAGUCAGUGGUGAAAUCCCGGGGCUCAACCCCGGAACUGCCAUUGAUACUGUAAGUCUUGAAUUUGGUUGAAGUGGGCGGAAUGUAGCAUGUAGCGGUGAAAUGCUUAGAUAUGCUACAGAACACCGAUCGCGAAGGCAGCUCACUAAACCAAUAUUGACGCUCAGGCACGAAAGCGUGGGGAGCAAACAGGAUUAGAUACCCUGGUAGUC